rnacentral:rRNA from 1 species
CCCGCCGGACCUGACUGCUAUCGGAUUGAUACUAAGCCAUGCGAGUCUUUGUAGUAAUACAAGGCAGACGGCUCAGUAACACGUAGUCAACCUACCCUAUGGACAAGAAUAAUCUCGGGAAACUGGGCAUAAUUCUUGAUAGAUCAUAAUGCCUGGAAUGGUUUAUGGUUAAAAUGAUUCGUCGCCAUAGGAUGGGACUGCGGCCUAUCAGCUUGUUGGUGAGGUAAUGGCCCACCAAGGCGAUUACAGGUACGGGCUCUGAGAGGAGAAGCCCGGAGAUGGGUACUGAGACACGGACCCAGGCCCUAUGGGGCGCAGCAGGCGAGAAAACUUUGCAAUGUGCGAAAGCACGACAAGGUUAAUCCGAGUGAUUUCUGCUAAAGAAAUCUUUUGCCAGUCAUAAAACCACUGGUGAAUAAGGGGUGGGCAAGUUCUGGUGUCAGCCGCCGCGGUAAAACCAGCACCUCAAGUGGUCAGGAUGAUUAUUGGGCCUAAAGCAUCCGUAGCCGGCUUUGUUAGUUUUCGGUUAAAUCCAUGUGCUCAACGCAUGGGCUGCCGAAAAUACUGCAUAGCUAGGGAGUGGGAGAGGUAGACGGUACUCAGUAGGAAGGGGUAAAAUCCUUUGAUCUAUUGAUGACCACCUGUGGCGAAGGCGGUCUACCAGAACACGUUCGACGGUGAGGGAUGAAAGCUGGGGGAGCAAACCGGAUUAGAUACCCGGGUAGUCCCAGCUGUAAACGAUGCAGACUCGAUGAUGCAUUGGCAUAAUAGCCAGUGCAGUGUCGCAGGGAAGCCGUUAAGUCUGCCGCCUGGGAAGUACGUACGCAAGUAUGAAACUUAAAGGAAUUGG